GAUUUCGCAAUGCCCGAAAGGGUGACGAAGCGACGCCGCGUGCGGGAAGAAGGCCUUCGGGUUGUAAACCGCUGUCGGGAGUUAAGAAAUGUAAGGAUGUUAAUAGCAUCUUUGCUUGACUAAGGCUCCGGAGGAAGCCACGGCUAACUCUGUGCCAGCAGCCGCGGUAAUACAGAGGCGGCAAGCGUUGUUCGGAAUUAUUGGGCGUAAAGAGCACGUAGGCGGCUAUGUAAGUCGGUUGUGAAAGCCUUCCGCUCAACGGGAGAACAGCAUCCGAUACUGCAUGGCUUGAGUGCGGGAGGGGAGAGUGGAACUUCUGGUGGAGCGGUGAAAUGCGUAGAUAUCAGAAGGAACGCCGGCGGCGAAAGCGGCUCUCUGGCCCAUAACUGACGCUGAGUGUGCGAAAGCUAGGGGAGCAAACGGGAUUAGAUACCCCGGUAGUCCUAGCCGUAAACGAUGGGCACUAAGUAGAGGGGUUUUAAUC
rnacentral:rRNA from 1 species